UACGGAGGGAGCUAGCGUUGUUCGGAAUUACUGGGCGUAAAGCGCACGUAGGCGGUCAGCCAAGUCAGAGGUGAAAGCCCGGAGCUCAACUUCGGAACUGCCUUUGAAACUAUCUGACUAGAAUUCUGGAGAGGCGGGUGGAAUUCCGAGUGUAGAGGUGAAAUUCGUAGAUAUUCGGAAGAACGCCAGUGGCGAAGGCGGCCCGCUGGACAGACAUUGACGCUGAGGUGCGAAAGCGUGGGGAGCAAACAGG
rnacentral:rRNA from 1 species